rnacentral:rRNA from 1 species
AACGAACGCUGGCGGCGUGUUUAAGACAUGCAAGUCGCACGGGACAAGUUGAGUAGUAAUACGAUACUUGUUUAGUGGCGCACGGGUGAGUAACACGUGAAUUACAUGCCCUUCAGUGGGGAAUAGCCCAGGGAAACUUGGAUUAAUACCCCAUGGUAUCGCAAGAUUAAAGGUGGCCGCAAGGCUGUCGCUGAAGGAUUGGUUCGCGCCCUAUCAGCUUGUUGGUGAGGUAACGGCUCACCAAGGCUACGACGGGUACCUGGUCUGAGAGGACGAUCAGGCACACUGGAACUGAGACACGGUCCAGACACCUACGGGUGGCAGCAGUCGAGAAUAAUUCACAAUGGGGGCAACCCUGAUGGUGCAACGCCGCGUGGAGGAUGACGGUCUUCGGAUUGUAAACUCCUGUCAUCCGGGAGUAAGACCUGGUCGUUAAUAGCGAACAGGGUUGAUAGUACCGGAAGAGGAAGGGACGGCUAACUUCGUGCCAGCAGCCGCCGUAAAAC